rnacentral:rRNA from 1 species
CUAAGACAUGCGAGUCGAGCGUCUCUAGCUAUGUUGACACGCGGCAGACGGCUCAGUAACACGUGGCCAACCUACCCUCAGGACAAGUACAAACCCGGGAAACUGGGGCUAAUACUCGAUAGGCGAAGGCGCCUGGAAUGGUUCUUCACCCAAAGGGCUUUAGAAACAUGCUUCUAGAGUCGCCUGGGGAUGGGGCCGCGUCCGAUCAGGUUGUUGGUGAGGUAACGGCUCACCAAGCCUAUAACCGGUACGGGCCGUGAGAGCGGUAGCCCGGAGAUGGGUACUGAGACAAGGACCCAGGCCCUACGGGGCGCAGCAGUCGCGAAAACUCCGCAAUGCACGAAAGUGUGACGGGGCUACCCCGAGUGCCGUCCGCUGAGGAUGGCUUUUCCUUGGUGUAACUAGCCGGGGGAAUAAGGAGAGGGNCAGACUGGUGUCAGCCGCCGCGGUAA